GACGAACGCUGGCGGCGUGCCUAAUACAUGCAAGUCGAGCGGACUUUCCGGAGUGCUUGCACUCCGGAAGGUUAGCGGCGGAUGGGUGAGUAACAAGUAGGCAACCUGCCCAUAAGACAGGGAUUACAUUCGGAAACGAAUGCUCAUACCGGAUAGACGGACCUCUCGCAUGAGGGGAUAGGGAUAGGCGGAGCAAUCUGCCGCUCAUGGAUGGGCCUGGGGCGCAUUAGCUGGUUGGUGGGGUAACGGCCUACCAAGGCGACGAUGCGUAGCCGACCCGGGAGGGGGAACGGCCACUGAGGGACUGAGAGACGGCCCUGGCACCGACGGGAGGCAGCAGUAGGGAAGCGUGCGAGAAGGGCGCAAGUCUGACGGAUGAACGGCGCGUGAGUGAGGAAAGCCUGCGGGUCGUAAAGCUCUGUUGCCAGGGAAGAACGGGUAGGGGAGUAACGGCCCUUGCGAUGACGGAACCGGAGAAGAGAGCCCCGGCUAACUACGU
rnacentral:rRNA from 1 species